CAAAGUCAUGUAGGUCAAGACUCACCAUUAUAUUUUACAUGCAAAGGAUGGACUGAAAAUAAGCUUUAUGAAUAUUAACAUUGCACCCUGGUGGAUAUAAUUUUUUUAAGCUGUCAAUGACUGUGAUAUUUCACCAAUAAAAAAAAACGUAGUCAUCUCUUUCAUUAUUUCAUGAAUGAAACAGAGUGAAGUAAUGUGUUCCCCAUGUCCUAACUUCCUUCAUGAGAGAUAUUCAGAUGGUACAAACAAAGAAAUGUUUUUUACUGUGAACAGAAGGAGUGAGCAGAAGCUUUUGAAGACUGAUGUCAAAGUGAAACAGUGGAUGUCAUGGGAUCACUGGUAUCAAAUCCUUAGAAAAUGUGUGUUGUGCGCUAUAUCCGACUGUAGCAACAACUACAACAACAGCCACACCAACAACUGUAUCAACAACUACAACAACAGCCACACCAACAACUGUAGCAACAACUAUAACAACAGCCACACCAACAACUGUAUCAACAACUACAACAACAGCCACACCAACAACUGUAGCAACAACUAUAACAACAGCCACACCAACAACUUUAGUAACAGCAGCAACAACCACUCUGUUGGAAAGGUCAACACUAUCUGAGGUCAUCAUUAUCUUAUUGUGUACCUUCCUGAUUCUGGCUCUCUCAAUUAUCAUUUUGUCAAUAUGGUGGAGAAGAAGGGAUUUGACUGUUGGAUCAAAGGUCAAUCAGUUGGGAGAUGGAGACAAUAUACAGAUUGAUGUGAUCGAAAGUGAGAACACAUAUGCCAAUUUUGACAAACCAGUAACACACCUGGAGGAGGAUGCAGAUACUGUUAUUUACAGUGACAUCACCAUUUGUAAUGCCAGCUCUAAACCAUCAACAGUUGUGGAGGAAACUGAAUAUGCUAUUGUCAAAAUAAGACCAUUGCAACUUUCAUAAUAGACCCUUGAUCAAGUCUAUUGUUGAUCAAAUGAUUUCAAAGUGAAAACUUGUAAUAGCACAGUUUUCAAUAGUAAUGUAUCAACAUUUUAAACCCUAAACUUUCAAUUAGCAAAGUAAAUCUUCUGAUUUUGAUGUUUGUAUGAGAUAUUUCAAUGUUCGUAAAAGUCUGACUGUAAUUCAAAGAUCUGCGAUGAUGUGCUUUCUUAUACUAGAUAACAUAAUAAUAUAUAGUUACAUUUCACAAUAGUGUCAGAAAUGUUUGACCCCAUGGUUAAGUUAAACUUCUUUAUCAGUAAACACAAUUACUCAGUAGUCAUUUUGAUAGACAUGUGCUAUGAGUAGAUGUACUUUGUAAAAAAUGCCUGUGAAAAAGGAUGAUUGCUAAAACACAUUACUCAACCUUAGAAAGGGGAAGGAAAAUAAUCUAAACACUGGUUGAGAUCAGUGACGUGCAGUCAGGGUAGGCAAGGUAGGCACUGCCUACCCUGCCAAAUUUCAAACGUAAAAAUGUUUAUUAAAUAAUUGUAUUUAAUAAACUUAUAUUUGUAUUUUUACUGAUUGUUCUUGUGAUGUAUAUAUACAAUAUGUGUGUUAUUCCAAUUGUUUAGACGUUACGAUGACAAAUGUAGCAGUUACGCAUAAUCAAAUACAACAAAA